UUCUUCAGUUGUCUCAAACACAAAAACUCUAAUCAAGGUAUCUUUAUCAUCUUCAACUUGCUUUCAGAUCUUGAAGUUUUAUUCACGAUUAAUUUCCUUUUCAUUUUUCAAGUUUUCAUCUUCUUUCCUAUUUGAAGUUUUCCUUUUCCCUUUCCAAAACCCUAAGUUCAACCAUGGCCGCACACCUCUUUCAGUUUUAAAUAUCCUCAAAGUUCAUCGCUAUCGAUCUCCUUCUUCAGUUUUAUCAUCAAUCAAAGUUCAUCGCUGUUGAUCUCCUUCUUCACAUGAAUCUUCAGUUUUAUCAUCAAUUUCUGUAAAUGAUUUUCGAACGAAUAGGAUUAUAAAACGUGGUUAUUAUCAUCAUCAUCAUCCUUUGAUUUUGUAAGAUUUGUAUUCAACCUUCCUUUGUUUAAAAUGCCGAUCGAAGAAUAAGGAUUGGAAAAGCAUAGACGUCUUCCAUCCCAAACCAACCAUAUCAAAAAUCGCCCAGUUACGGAGAAGGUAGUAGUGGUCGGAAAGUACUUGAUAUUGAUCUGAAUGAGGUUCGGGUCGGUACGAUGGAAGAAGAUGAAGGUGGGAAUGGGAAUGGGCGAGGUUAAAGGAAUAUACUGGAGUUCAAACUGGGAAUUUGUCAAGUCUAAUAAAAGAUAAAUCAAUCACCAGCUGAGUUUUUUGUACCUUUGAUUGCAAUUUUGUGACAGGUUGGUGACCAAGAUGAAAAGCUGGCAGAAGGUAUCAAGCUUUAUGCUAUACCAACCACUUCAACUAGAAAGCGUGAGAUAUAAAGAGUUGCGAGGACUGGACAAUUCGGUUUUCCACGUAUCGAUUUUACCAUUCGGUUUUCCAGUCCCAUAAACGGCAUUAUAGAUAAGAAUGCAAAGAUUGGAAAUGAUGUGGUGAUAAUGAAUAAAGAUGUGGAAAGUGGUCAUGUAGCAGCACGUUAUAAUCAUCGUUUUCAUCCGUGUGAAGAAAAUUCAUAGUUGAGGAGUGGCAUACGCCAUUAAAUCACGUACAUGGAGCAAAGGCUUGGUUUUCAGUUUCUGAUUGGUCAAGACCCCAUUUAGCUCUGUAUUGAACCUGUAGAUUCGACUCAGGAAUGGAGGCAGUGGGAGUUGUAACAGUUGUCAGCCGGGGAGUAACCACAAAGCGAGUUUAAGUUAUUGAUUGUUUCUCGAAGCGGGUCAACUGAUGCAAAAUGGUGUUUUGUUUACUAUAGGUGAUGGGUUGAGGCCCGAAUUAAUUAAUGAUGCGGGUCAACUGGUGCAGAGUUAUUGACUGAAGGUGUAUUAAACUGUAGACCUGAGAGAAAGAUGUACAAGUAUGCUUCUAUUAUUUGUUUUUAUUUCUAUUUUUUAAUUUGUUAACUAUUGGGCAAGCAAUGUGUCAAAUAUGGUUAGUUUAUUGUGUCAACUAUUUUGCGUGCAUUGGUGUGUGACAUAUGGUUAGUUUAUUGU
rnacentral:lncRNA from 1 species